AAAUAAGAAGUAAAAUAAAUUUACAUAUUAAUUUCGACUUAAUAAUAGAUCAUAAAUCCUUAUUUU
rnacentral:tRNA from 1 species